CAUGGCGGCGCUCUGAGUCGAGGUUUGUUUAUGUUCAUUCAGUCUUCGAAAUAAGUCUUUAAAUGUCUUUAAACUGUUGUAACACCUUUGAUGGCCUGGAUGAGCCAGUGAGACCUACACCUGGGGGUAUAAAACGUUGACUGGACAAAGAAAACCACAAAAAACAACAACAAAAGAAGGUUCGUCACUUGUGUGGCGCGUUAAUACCGACUGUGGGAUGUCAACACAAAGCUGCUACGAAAGGUUUCUAUCAGGCCGAGAAGCUGUCACCGGACGACCUGAUGAUGAACUUCAACCAUUUGUAUGAAAAACCAAAUAAGGUUGACCAGGACCGGGCUAUACUUCAUCUCCUGGACAUCACGCAAGUGAAAAGGAAGCGUCCGAAAGUUCAGGACGUAAACAAACAAAAAGACCGGAACGUAUCUGUCAAGUACAAUCUCUUGUGCAACAGUCACCCAGAGAAGGUUCCCGUUUGCAAGGCGACCUUCAUUAAAGUGUUUGGCCAGCACCUCACAUGCUACCAGCAGAUUACCUGUGAUGACAGAUUCUGCAUGUCAGACUGACCCACCCAAGUACCGUACUGUUCGUACACAGCUAUCCUCAAGGACUCUUGGUUCACAUCGAAGUACAGCUGUCCAGGCUAAAAUUCCCUGCAGAAGCGUUGGUGUCGAAACACUUCCGUUGGAAGUGCCAGUGCCCUUUUUAACAUCCACCCCCUUAAAGAGACCACCAAAGAGAACCCGUGUGGAUCUUGAAGAGGAAUACGAAGAUCCAUUUGAGGGAAGCUCUUCUUUGGUGAUUUCCGAAGGCCAGGAUGCAACUUAUGAUCCAGCAGAAUCCAUAACAAAUGCUACAGAAACAACAGCCAUGUCUGGUCAAGAACAAAACCCCCCCCCAGACGAUCAACACAUACAUCGUGUAUGAGACCUGCCUCAUGGAGCUUUUUGAAUCAUGUCCUGUGUGCAAGCGUGUGUGUGAUGUACAAACCAGUAGGAUCGGUACAUUCAUAUCAGUGCAGCAGCUGUGCCCCCAUUGUCAGUUUACAAGAAACUGGAAUAGCCAGCCUGUUCUUGGGAGUACUCCAGUUGGAAACCUGCAGCUAUCAGUUGCAACAUAUGUCAACGGAGCAUCUUUCUACAAACUUUCAAAGGUCUUCAAACAAUGAAUAUGCAGCUAUGCAAAUACAACACCUUCCGAAGGCAUGCCAGGAUGUUCAUUGAGCCAGCGAUUGUUUCUUACUGGCAAAAAGCACAGGAAGGCAUGCUACAGAAGCUCCAUGCAGAGGAGAAAGUGAUAGUUGGUGGUGAUAUGAGGGCUGACUCCCCAGGCCACUCUGCAAAGUUCGGAAGCUACACUACGAUGGACCUGAAGAACAACAAAGUCGUUGACCUCCAGUUGGUUCAGAGCAAUGAGGUUGGUGGAAGCUACCACAUGGAGUUAGAGGGCCUGAAAAGGAGUCUGGAGUUGUUAAAGGAACGUGGUGUGACUCUGGACUGUAUUGUCACGGACAGACAUCUGCAAAUUCAGAAAUUCCUAAGGGAAAGCAGCAUCACCCAAUUCUUUGAUGUGUGGCACAUAGAAAAAGGGAUUUCUAAGCAACUGGAGAAGGCUGCAAAAAAGAAGGACUGCGAAAAACUUCGAGGGUGGGUGAAGAGUAUAAGAAACCACAUAUACUGGACUGCAGCAACCUCCACCACCGGGCCUGAGAGAGUGGCCAAAUGGACGUGCAGGAUAUCCACUCUCAUGAUGACCCCCUGUUCCCCAAGUGCCUUCAUCCACUGCGCAUUGCGCAAUACCAAUGGAUGGCUGCAGGAACGCCGGCCUUUCACAAGCUGGAGACAAUUCUCUCAACCAAGAGGAUUUUGAAAGCUGUGGCCAAACUCAGCCCACACCAACAGACUUCAUCUUUGGAGUCAUUCCAUGCCGUCAUCCUGCGCUUUGCUCCAAAGAAUGUUGUGUUUCCAUUUCUUGGAAUGUUGUGCAGACUGUACCUGGCAGCCCUGCACUACAAUGAAAACGCAGAGCGU